GAAUGGAUAAGGAUUAGCGAUGAUACACA
rnacentral:sRNA from 1 species